CGGCGACCCUGAUACGUCAGUUAAUGACGCCGGUGGUCGCCGAGAAAAUCGCCAAGGAGGACAGGCCCUU